rnacentral:lncRNA from 1 species
UUCUCUCUCUCCUCUGUUUCGUUUUUUUCUUCUUUCACUUUCCUCUUUCUUUCUCCAAUAACAAAAAAAAGAGAUUUCUAAUUCCACAAACGUUUGCUCUGACAAAAAGAUAUCAAUUAGCUCUGCAGAUGUUGUUUAAAAGUUGUCUGCUGCAUCUUCACUGGGUCAAUUCGAUGGACCAGAUCUGGUAGAUCAGAUCCGGUGGACCAUAUCUAAUGAACCAGUGCGUGAAAUCUUUUUCACCCAUGUUUUCCUACAAAGGGAUCUCAAUCAGCUUUGCAGAUGCUCCAUAGAGAUUGUAUGUUCUAUUUCCGACGAGCCAAUCUCGAUGGACCAGAUCUGGUAGACAAUAUCCAGUGAACCAGUUCUAGUGGACCAAACUUGUCUAUUUUUACUAAGCAAUUGUGUCCAUCACGCAGAUCUUUUGAAGCCAUAAGCGAUCGACCAGAUGAUGAAACAAGUAAUGCAUUUAUGGAAAUAUCAUUUAAGAUCCAUCUAGGUUUACACUCUUGACCAUACAUUUGUCUGUAUAUGGACCAAAUCUCGUGGACUAAUCUGGUGGACCAAAUCUCGUGGACUAGAUCCGGUAGACUAGAUCUGGUGGACCAGCCCCGAUGUCUGUAAUAUGUCCAUAUUUUGUUCCCUUACUCGUUGUUCUAUUUUUUUAUAAACUAACUUGUCUAUAAUACAUAUGCUAGUGUGGUAAUAAUGUUGGGUAGUGAAAAAGAACAACUAAUAAUGAUAGACGAUACAUGUAUUUAUCUUGUCCACUGUAUCUUGUCCACUGUAAUUA